rnacentral:lncRNA from 1 species
CUACACCACAGCCAUAGCAACGCGGGAUCCGAGCCGCGUCUGCAACCUACACCACAGCUCACGGCAACGCCGGAUCCUCAACCCACAGAGCAAGGCCAGGGAUCGAACCCACAACUUCAUGGUUCCUAGUUGGAUUCGUUAACCACUGAGCCAUGACAGGAACUCCUCUUUUAAUUUUUUUUUUAAUUUUUAAUUUUUAAAUUUUUUUUAGGGGAAAAGGGAGAAAUUCUUAGUUAUUAUAGGACAUUUUUUCUUUAUCAUUACAUUUCAAAAUAGCUAUGUUGAGAUGAUACAAAAUAUAAUUGAAGUGGCAACAAAAAUCAAAUUAUUAUGUGGAAGAAAAUCUUAGUUUUCUGCAAAGUAGAGAAACUUUAAGAGAAUGAAACCUAAGCGUAUUGCAUUGUGAUUUUUUUUUUUCUCAUACACAAUUCAUUUCGCUUCACCUCAUUCUGUUAUCACUUUGUGAUUUUUUUGAUUUGGCUUUUUUUUUAACUUCUUUAAAUAACAAGAAAAUUCUUUCCAGCAGCUGUAGCUCUGAUUCAGCCUGCGAACCUCCAUAUGCUGCUGGUAUGGCCCUAAAAAGAAAAACAAACAAACAAAAAAACAAUGCUGUGAGAAGACCAAGGAUCAGGAGGGCUCCUCAGUCAAGUCAGUUUGGAAAUGCUGCAACCAGGAGCCCCCAAGUGGAUCUAAGAAACCACACUGAAGGGAGAGAAGUUCAACAGCAAAGAAACAGUUGGGUUACUUAGUUUACAAACCAUUUCCACAUCUUUGACUAGAAGUUAGCAAACUUCUGUAAAGGACCAGAUAAGGAAAUAUUUUAGACUUGGUGGGUCAUCCUGGGUCUCUGUGGGAAUGUCUCAAAUCUGUCACUAGGGCACAAAAAAAAAAAAAAAAAGAAAAAAAAAAAAAAAAAAAAAAAGAAAGGCUCUGGACAAUACGUAAAUGUCUGAGUGGGGCUGUGUCCUGACAAUGCUUUGUUUAUGAACCCUGACAUUUAAUUUUAUAAAAUUUUCAUGUCAUGAAAUAUUACUAGCGUAUUGAUUUUUUUUCUUCCAACCAUUUUAAAAUGGAAAAACAUAGCUAUAUGUGUUUUACAAGCAGUUUGUUACGUGCACCCAAACAGGCAGUGAACCAGACUUGGUCCACCAGCCAAAGUUUGCCAUCCCCCGCUUUACACUACAAGCCCUCUCUCCUUACCUUUUAUAUUUUUUGUGUGGAUUCUAUUAAGAUUUAGGGGACAGUGGAGCCUCCAGAUGGAAGCUGCCUUGAUGGACAUUUUGCUUGUUCUCAAUUUUUCCUAUUAUAAAAUGCUAUAAUUCAUUGGUUAUAUUUGUAGAUCUCUUUUUAGAUAUAUUGUUUCCUUAAAUAAAUAACCCAGGACAUAUAUGGGGGCA